rnacentral:rRNA from 1 species
GGAUUAGUGGCGCACGGGUGAGUAAGGUAUAGUUAAUCUGCCCUACACAAGAGGACAACAGUUGGAAACGACUGCUAAUACUCUAUACUCCUGCUUAACACAAGUUGAGUAGGGAAAGUUUUUCGGUGUAGGAUGAGACUAUAUAGUAUCAGCUAGUUGGUAAGGUAAUGGCUUACCAAGGCUAUGACGCUUAACUGGUCUGAGAGGAUGAUCAGUCACACUGGAACUGAGACACGGUCCAGACUCCUACGGGAGGCAGCAGUAGGGAAUAUUGCGCAAUGGGGGAAACCCUGACGCAGCAACGCCGCGUGGAGGAUGACACUUUUCGGAGCGUAAACUCCUUUUCUUAGGGAAGAAUUCUGACGGUACCUAAGGAAUAAGCACCGGCUAACUCCGUGCCAGCAGCCGCGG